AUGUCGACACCCGGCGACGACAAGAAGCCCCUCAUGUUUAUCCAGCUUGCGCGAAAGAGUGUUGAAAUCCACACUGGCUUAGUGAACACCUUGUUUGGCAUCUGUGUCUUCGCCAUCGCCAUUACCACCUUCACCUCCAACUCCUCCUCCACGGCCUCAUGUCUUGCUCCUAGCCCCCCAAGUGACCCUGCCUGCAACCCAACCAAAAUGCGUGGGUACAUCAGCAUGUGUGAGCGAUGGCUAGCGUGUUUCAUCGUUCUCUCCUUGAUCUCCAUCAACGUGGUUCGGAUCCUCGUCGAGAGUGCGCAUGAGGCCCACCAAUGGGUCGCCAAGAAGGAGGAGGCCAAGUACAAGGCCGCCAAAGACGCCUACGAGCUGGCCAGACGCAAGCUCGAGAAAUUCAACGGGCCCCUCUCCCACCGCAACCCCCAGGCGCGCGAUCCCGCGGCUGAGCAGCCGCACCUUCCUUCGGCGGCUCUGAAUGCCGCGCAGGAGGAGCACGACAAGCUCUUCACCGACGAGAAGCUCGCAAAAAGGGAGAUGGAAAGGUUAGUGCAGAAACAAGGCAUGGAGCGGAUUGAGGGAUGGCCGUUGAUUGUGAUCCGUGGUUUGUUCUUCUUUUCGGUUCUUUGCUCCCAGAUUUCUUUUCGGUUCUUUUCGGUUUGCAACAGCAGGUUUCUAUUACUCCAGGCAGAUAGAGUCACGCUGUGCUCUCGGUCCGCUUGA
rnacentral:rRNA from 1 species